rnacentral:SRP_RNA from 1 species
AUGCAGGCUAGGUGGGUGGUUAGCCGUCACCUGUACCAUAAAUCGGCUAUACGAUGGACUGAAGUCUGAGUGCGGUGCGAAUCUUUCAGUAGAGCCCUAUCAUGGACUUUGAUGUUUCGUCCUGCAUGGUUGAUAUUAAUGCUAACUGAGUCAGGCCAGGAAUGGAGCAGCUCUAAACAAUAGUACCGACGCUUGUAGGGUCGCGAAGCUGAGAAAAUGUUAGGACAAACUUUAUUGGGAAUUUACAACAAACUCAGAUGGCCUGCAU